UACGGAGGGGGCGAGCGUUAUUCGGAAUUAUUGGGCGUAAAGGGCGCGUAGGCGGCUGUACAAGUCAAAGGUGAAAUCCCUCGGUUCAACUGAGGAACUGCCUUUGAAACUGUACGGCUUGAGGCCGGGAGGGGGUAGCGGAAUUCCCAGUGUAGCGGUGAAAUUCGUAGAUAUCAAGCAGAACACCUGCGGCGAAGGCGGCCUUCUGGACGAUGACUGACGCUGAGACGCGAAAGCGUGGGGAGCAAACAGG
rnacentral:rRNA from 1 species